AAAUAAAUAAAUAAAUAAAUAAAUAAAUGUAAUAAUAUGAAAAUAAAUUAAGGAAUAAAUGUCAUGAUAAAACAAAUAUAAUUAGUUUUUAAUUAAAUUUAGUCCUGAAUUUAUUUUUUUAUGACUUUUUUCCUUUAUUAUUUUCUGUAUUUAUUUUUAACUGUAUUUUUAUGCUUUUUUUUUACUUUUAUUUAUUUAUUCAUUUAUUUUGCAUUGUUUUUAUUUUUAUUUAUGUGUUCAUUUAUUUUUAUAUUUAUUUAUUCCCACAUAUAUUUAUUUCCAUAUUUAUAUAUUCCCAUAUAUAUAUAUUUAUUUAUACAUGUAUUUAUUUUUACUUUUCUGUGUGCAACAUGGAAAUGAGGGAGGUAGUCCUUGCCUAGCUCCAGUGCAUCAUUGGUUGAUAGCUCACGUACAGAAGCGUCAAAUCUACCUAAGGGAUAGAUCGGAGUUUUUUAAAAGAAAUGGCGGCAAGUAGCAAUACGCUGUCUAAAUUGCGACGGGAUGUGGCAGAUCAACUGGAGAGUUGUAAGUUAUUUUCACAGAUUCGCAUUAUGUCGAAUUAUUUUGUAGCGAAAACGAUUUUCCAGAUGUAGUAUGUUGUGCUUCCUUACAGCAUCAUCAUCAUCAUCAUCAAGUCCGGAACCAUCAACGUCGUAAGAUUAAAGGUUGAUGACACCCAGUGGACGGUAGGUUUCUAGUCUAAUGCCUGUGUUUAUUUUGUAAUCACGGCGAAAAUCUUGACUGCAUUAUCUUAAAUUAUCUGUGCUGCGUUUCCCAACCAACCAAUGGUUUCUACGAAGAACGAAUCAAUCCAGGAUCGUGUCAAAUCCGUAACAAUGAAAUCCAAAUAACUCAUUAAUGAACGUAUAAUGAAUGGGCUCACUUGCUCUUUCUCUGCACUUCAAAGAUGAUCAUUGUUUGCUUUCUUACACUUUCUAGCCGAAGUUGCAAGACUAUUUAGUCCUUCCAACAGAGGAAGAGGAUUGGCAAGACGGAUGAGUCGUGCAGUAUCCUGCAGCUUUACUCAAUUUCUGCUGUCUUGAUGAUAAAAAUGCAGAUUUGGUAACCAGUAUUGUAGAAAAGAGCGGUUGUUUUCUGCUGGGUUAGGGGUGAGAGUGUGACGUAUCGAGGUAUUUACUUUAGAGCUUUGUUUAAAAGUGAGGUUUUCUUGAGCACAUUUGGAUUAUUAAUUAUUAUCUUUAAUGAUAAAAAUGAUAAGGUCUGUCAGUAGUCAUUUAACAAUCUAAACAUGAAAUACAAACACUAGGCUGCAGGUGUAGCUUUUAAAACAUACACCAUCUGACUGAACACUGCCAGUACUGAAAAGUUAAAGAUAUGUAAAUGAUAAAUGUCAGAUAUGUCUUAGUAUCUUUACAUGUUAUCUUUUUUUAUUAUUCUUAAAGGAUGCCAUACAGAUCCCCAAAAAUUUAAAGAUGUCAUCAUGGUAGCUUUUCCAAAACUCCGACAAAGUGGGGGGUUUGAGUUACUAAAAAUAUCUGGGAACACAAGGAGCCCCCAUCUCAGCUUGAUACCCUGCCCAAAUGAGGGAUACCAUGUAAAGUAUUUGAAAGAUCCUCAAAAUCAAAUUGGUCAUGCAACCAUUUUCAUUCGUCCACUUCAACGAAACUUAGAAGUUGAAUCAACAAGCAAUCCUAACAGAGACGAGUUGAUUGGACCACCUCAGAAAUGUGUUGUGUGUGGAGAUGAAUUCCCGUUUGCAGGUCAGCAGAGGUCAGUGAUGAGGUAGUGAGUGAGAGAGCUACAGAAAGGGCCACUUCAAGUGAUGAUGAAGAUACUACUUGUGCCAUUUUUUUUAAUGCAGCUUCUUCUAAUACCUUGCGGUUUCUGUUCAAAUUCUGGACUGGAUGGGAUGUGCUGCCCAGGAGCCUAGAUGUUGAGGUGGUGGAGGGAAACGUACCAAAGUCUUCCACAUGCUAUCAAACUCUCAAGCUUCCUAGUCAUUAUAAUGACUACAUUACCUUUGAGAGAGACGUUUUAGCUGCUAUCUGGAGCACAGAUUAUGGAUUUGGAAUGGUUUGAUUUCAUACUAAGAAUAUAAAUUAGAUGCUAAAAUUAAUCCAUAUUUACAGGAGUUACUGUUAAAAUUUUCAAUUUUCUGUUUUUGUUACUAAGACAUCAGAUAGCCAGGCAACAAAUUUUGACAUGUUGCAGAGUUCAGAACCUUUGUGUUGUUAAGGCUAUACCAAACUAACAUUUGUCUAAAAAGUUUUUACAAAAAUGUAUUUACUACGAUUCACUAUAAAUAUGGUCUCCUAGACGUUUAGCUGCUAUCUGGAGCACAGAUUAUGGAUAUAGAAUGGUUUGGAAUAAAUUCUUGAGUUACUAAGAAUAUUCACUGGAUGCCAGAGUUAAUCCAUAUUAACUGGAGUUAAUGUUAAAAUGUCCUAAUUUUUGUUUUUGUGACUUUUGUAUUGUAUUAUUCAGAACAGAACCUUCUUGUUGUCAAAGUUAUACCAAACUAACCUUUGGUUAAAGUUAUUUGUAACAUUUAUUGACCUCAGUGCACUACAAAGAUGGUGUGGCUAUUCAAAGCCAGCAUUAUAAAAGUUAACAAGUUGAAUAAAAGUUUUAAGCUGAA